CGAAUCUUAUAAAUGUUAAAUAUCAACUGAAAUUAUUUGUAUUAGAUUCAAUUUUUCUAUUAAAUUUUGUAUGAAAUUUUAGUGUCGUUUGUGAAGUAAUACUAAAUGCAUAUCUUGUCGAUAGUAGGUAAAAUCUAUUAGGAUAUUACGACAAGCAUAACAGCUGCAUAAAAGUUGUAAUGGUGUAACGUUCAAUGCGAGUGACAGAUUUAUCGCGUCCUUCUGACAGCUGCAAUCUGCAGGAAAGUUCGUAAUUUUGUUGCUGGAUAGAGAACCAGAAAAUAGUAUUGUUCCUGAAUUUUUAGCAGGAAGAGGAGAUAGAAGACCAAGUCAUCGUAAAGUUAACCGCAAUGAAGACUGCUACGCUAUUUAAUCACGAGAAAAUCCUGAUUUUCUUUUGUAAAAAGGAAGAAAUCGAGAGUAAAUACUCUCUCUAUGCGUGCAUCUAUGUACAAAACGAUACAAAACUUAGAUUCGCUGGAUUCUCGUCAAGAGGAUUUCUUUCACCGCUUUCUUUCCAUUUCUUCGCAAAUGCAAGUUUUGGGCGCCGAUGAUGAAAAUAAAAGCAACAAAAAAAAAGAA